ensembl:rRNA 5S_rRNA 5S ribosomal RNA
GUCUACAGCCAUACCACCCUAAACGCUCCCGAUCUCGUGUGAUCUCGGGAGCUAAGCCAGGUCGGGCCUGUUAGUACUUGGAUGGGAGACUGCCUGGGAAUGGCCGGUGCUGUAGGCA